UACUAGUCAGUCUUUCCAUGCAUGAAAAAAUAAAGCUCACAUCCCUUGUUUACGCAGUGCUGAGAUGCUUGCCAGUUUGAACAUCCCCUGGGUUAUUCUCGGCCACUCUGAAAGAAGGGCUUUGCUAAAUGAAUCAAAUGAGUUUGUCGGAGAGAAAGUUGCAUACGCACUUUCUCAAGGGUUGAAGGUGAUUGCUUGUGUCGGUGAGACUCUUGAACAACGAGAGGCGGGGCACACUAUGACUGUUGUGGCUG